AAUAUUUUUGGCUAUUUUAGUGUUGGCUAAAAUUGGGCUGUAAAUGUGCCUCUGUAACUGGGACUGAGACUGGCUGGUAUGAAAAGCCAUGGAAAGACAAGAAACACGCAUGCAGGUGCACAUGUGUUUUUGUAGGUGGAAAAUGGAGAAUGACCAACAUACAGGGUUGCUGCCUCCUACCACUGGAGGGUGACCACCCUGAAUGGAUCACCACCUCAUCACAGGCCCCCUUGUGGUAUACUGUGCACCUGAUGCCAGGAAAACAUUCCUUCCUGUCCAACACUUCCCAUGUGUGCUGAACCCAGAGCAAGUCCAGCUGAGUGACAACAUGGUAAUCAGAAUGGGUCUGAUGAUGUCAUCUCCACUCCAGAUGAUCCUGAAACAAGGAUUGGAUGCCAGACUGAUCUGACUCUGAUUUGUUAGUCAUUUAAU